rnacentral:rRNA from 1 species
GACGAACGCUGGCGGCGUGCUUAACACAUGCAAGUCGAACGGUGAACCGGGCUUCGGCCGGGGGAUCAGUGGCGAACGGGUGCGUAACACGUGGGCAACCUGCCCCAGACUCUGGGAUAACUCCGGGAAACCGGGGCUAAUACCGGAUACUCCGAUCGGACGACAUCGUCUGACCGGGAAAGCUCCGACGGUCUGGGAUGGGCCCGCGGCCUAUCAGCUUGUUGGUGAGGUAACGGCCACCAAGGCUU